rfam:Tncultured methanogenic archaeon RC-I complete genome
GGGCCCGUAGCUUAGCCAGGUCGGAACUGCUCAAAAGCAGCGACAAGCGCUCGGCUGAUAACCGAGAGGUCCUGCGUUCAAAUCGCAGCGGGCCCA